AUUGAACGCUGGCGGCAGGCCUAACACAUGCAAGUCGAGCGAGCGGCGGACGGGUGAGUACUGUAUGUGGAUCUGCCCGAUAGAGGUGGAUAACUACUUGAAACGGUGGCUAAUACCGCAUACUCUCUGAUGAACCCAUAUGGGGUUAGCUAGUCGGUGGGGUAAAGGCUCACCUAGGCGACGAUCUCUAGAUGGUCUGCGAGGAUGAUCAGCCACACUGGGACUGAGACACGGCCCAUACUCCGACGGGAGGCAGCAGUGGGGAAUAUUGCACAAUGGGCGCAAGCCUGAUGCAGCCAUGCCGCGUGUAUGAAGAAGGCCUUAGGGUUGUAAAGUACUUUCAGCGGGGAGGCGUUACCCGCAGAAGAAGCACCGGCUAACUCCGUGCCAGCAGCCGCGGUAAUAC
rnacentral:rRNA from 1 species